rnacentral:rRNA from 1 species
CGCUCCUUGAAGAUUUUAUUAUAUUGAAAUCCUUACAUAAGGAGUCGAACCUGCCCGGUGACAAAAUGUUAAACGGCCGCGGUACUCUGACCGUGCAAAGGUAGCAUAAUCAUUUGCCUUUUAAUUGGAGGCUUGUAUGAAUGGUUUGACGAAAAUCAAGCUGUCUCUUUUUAAAUAUCAAGAAAUUAUUAUUUAGGUGAAGAAACCUAAAUUUAAUUGAGGGACAAGAAGACCCCGUUGAGCUUAAGUAACUAAGCAAAUCUACGAUACUAAGUUUAAUAUAAAUUAAACACAUUUUCCUAUAUUGCAUUACUUGUAAACACAAUUUGCUACAAAUCUUUAGUUGGGGCGACUAAGGAACAAACAAAGCUUCCUUUCCACUUAUACAUACCUGUUGAGCAAAUUUGAACAAGCAUAGAUCCAGUACUUACUGAUCAAAGGAAAAAGUUACCACGGGGAUAACAGCGUAAUCUUCCCAAAGAGCCCUUAUCGAAGGGAGGGUUUGCGACCUCGAUGUUGGACUAAGAUACCCCGAAGGUGCAGAAGCUUUCAAUGGUUAGUCUGUUCGACUAUUAAAAUCUU